CCUACGGGAGGCAGCAGUGGGGAAUAUUGCACAAUGGGCGCAAGCCUGAUGCAGCCAUGCCGCGUGUAUGAAGAAGGCCUUCGGGUUGUAAAGUACUUUCAGCGGGGAGGAAGAUGUUGAGGUUAAUAACCUCAGCAAUUGACGUUACCCGCAGAAGAAGCACCGGCUAACUCCGUGCCAGCAGCCGCGGUAAUACGGAGGGUGCAAGCGUUAAUCGGAAUUACUGGGCGUAAAGCGCACGCAGGCGGUCUGUCAAGUCGGAUGUGAAAUCCCCGGGCUCAACCUGGGAACUGCAUUCGAAACUGGCAGGCUGGAGUCUUGUAGAGGGGGGUAGAAUUCCAGGUGUAGCGGUGAAAUGCGUAGAGAUCUGGAGGAAUACCGGUGGCGAAGGCGGCCCCCUGGACAAAGACUGACGCUCAGGUGCGAAAGCGUGGGGAGCAAACGGGAUUAGAUACCCCAGUAGUC
rnacentral:rRNA from 1 species